rnacentral:rRNA from 1 species
UGCUUGCACUAGAUGACGACCGGCGCACGGGUGCGUAACGCGUAUAGAAUCUACCUUUUACAGGGGGAUAGCCUUUAGAAAUGAAGAUUAAUAUCCCAUAGUAUUGCGAAGUGGCAUCACUUUGUAAUUAAAGAUUUAUCGGUAAAAGAUGACUAUGCGUCCUAUUAGUUAGUUGGUAAGGUAACGGCUUACCAAGACAUCGAUAGGUAGGGGUCCUGAGAGGGAGAUCCCCCACACUGGUACUGAGACACGGACCAGACUCCUACGGGAGGCAGCAGUGAGGAAUAUUGGGCAAUGGAGGUAACUCUGACCCAGCCAUGCCGCGUGCAGGAAGACUGCCCUAUAGGUUGUAAACUGCUUUUAUACAGGAAGAAACACUGCUACGUGUAGCAGCUUGACGGUACUGUAAGAAUAAGGACCGGCUAACUCCGUGCCAGCAGCCGCGGUAAUA